rnacentral:piRNA from 1 species
UGCAUGAGUAGAUUUUCACAG